CCGAUUUGCGAGUAUAAAUAAUUUAUUCAUUUGUUUCACAAACUUUAUUACAAAGAAUCAUAAUCUCAUGUAAAUUUCUUUUUAAACAAAUAAAGAUAUAGAAAAAAACAAUAAUAACGUUUGCUACAAUACAUUGAAAAUUAAGAGUUUUUAAUUAAAUCGCUUGUAUUAUUAAUUUUAUUAUUGUUACUAAUUUUCAUUAUUGUAAGAGGAAAUAAGCACUUUCUUUAAAGAAAUCAGUCAGGAAUAUAAGUUACGUUCUUUUCUUAUUAUUAAAAAAUGUUUUCUUUCGUAUUUAAUUGCUGUAACUGUAUUUAAUUUAAUUAUAACAUGGAAAAAUACGACUGCUGUGUUUUGCGUCUUUUUAAUUAGAUUAUGGGCAAAGUAAAAGUACGUUCGUUAUUUCUGAUUGGUCAGUCUGUUGCAGUUACUAUGACAACAAUUCGGGUGCUCACAAUUCGGGGUUACAGGACGACUAAUCCUGCGACUUUCAAACAUUAUCCUGCGGACAAUCGACGCAAAAUAAGGGCGGACAAUUGUAGCAUAAUUUUAUUUUCAGGAGAUAAUGGGCAUUUUACGAAGAAACUUAAGGAUAAUUUGGAGACAACUUUUUUGGAUUAAAGAGGUUUUACACAGAUGAGAUACACAGAAUUACAAAACUUUACACAAAGUUUUUAUUAACCGAUAUCUUACAACAUGCGACAGCGCGGCUACGCGAAUAGUGUACGUGGAUUCUCUCGCGGAAACUUUCUUCAGCAAUGUGGGCACCGUAUCAUACCGAAAACGUCACAUUUGGCGCACUUUAGGGCAACGAAUUCCACGGUGAACCCGUUGCGAUGGACAGAUCUCUUGCUGCCGUGACAGAUGGGACAUAGCAGCCGCUGGAAUCCGCCGCAGUAGAUACAAACAGCGCAUGCAUCCUUACACUGGAAAGCAAACAUUUUACAAUGUUGAAUUAAACCCAUUACGAAACUAACGAUAAUUAAUUGCUUGUAACGGCACUCAGUAGAUUUUAACGCAGACUUGACUUCUAUUAAAGCCGCAGCAUGCGGCGGUUGUUUACGCAGAAAUUUUUCACUAGCGAAUUAAAGUAAGAUACCAAUCUUAAUUAUAAAUCAAAUUCUAAAUACAAUUUCACUUUGCAAUAUCAAAUAUUUUGCAGAUGUAUUAACAGAAUUGUAAAAAAAAUUUUCUUAUUAAAGUCUUUCUUUAAAGUCUCU